UACAGAGGGGGCGAGCGUUGUUCGGAAUUACUGGGCGUAAAGGGCGCGUAGGCGGCCUCUUAAGUCGAACGUGAAAUCCCCGGGCUCAACCCGGGAACUGCGUCCGAUACUGGGGGGCUUGAAUCCGGGAGAGGGAUGUGGAAUUCCAGGUGUAGCGGUGAAAUGCGUAGAUAUCUGGAGGAACACCGGUGGCGGAAGGCGGCUU
rnacentral:rRNA from 1 species